rnacentral:lncRNA from 14 species
CCGGCCGCCCCGGGAGCCCUGGAUCACCCGGCCAGCCGGUGAGUGUGGGUGUCCCUUGUGUCCCCUUCUGCCUCAUGGGCUCUCCCCAGUGCCCGUUCCAGGGGGGUCUCUGUACCUGGCAGGGUCACUGCUGGCCCUGUGUGUCCCAAGUGUGAAUGUCCAUCCCUGCCUCGGCUGGAGCCCUCCUCCCAUCCCUGCUCCAAUACUGGCAGGGACCCUCAUUCACCUGCUGACCUGUUGUUUUCCAGGGCAUCCAGGGCGUCCCCGGCCCCCGAGGGGACCCCGGGACGCGAGGGCCGAUGGGGCUCCCUGGCCUGAAGGGGGAGAAGGGAGAGCCGGGGGAGCCGCGGGUGAUCACGGAUGGAAGGCAGGGGCUGCCAGGCCAGAAGGGGGAGCCGGGCAGGCCGGUACGUGUGAGCGCCGUGAUGCUGAGGGGUCUCUGCCCCAGCCCCAGCUAACAGAGCAUCUCUGUCCCCCAGGGCAGCCCUGGCCCCCCUGGCAGCCCCGGCACACGGGGGCCCUUUGGCGACCCAGGGCCCCCCGGCCCGCUGGGACCCCCCGGGCCACCGGGACCCCCAGGAGAGUUUGUGAAGGUAAAUCCACCUGUGCUGUGCAAGGGAGGUGUGGGAUGGGGGUGAAGCUGCUCCUCUGUGUGCUCCCCCGGUCCUGCCCACGGGCUGUGUCCCCACCAGAUGUGUCCGUGUGCACUGGGCAGGGCAGGGCCAGGCACAUGGCCUACUACCCUAUGUGCCUUUGAUGCCACUGAU